GAGAGUUUGAUCCUGGCUCAGGACGAACGCUGGCGGCGUGCUUAACACAUGCAAGUCGAACGGUGAACCUUGGAGCUUGCUUCGAGGGGAUCAGUGGCGAACGGGUGAGUAACACGUGAGUAACCUGCCCCGGACUCUGGAAUAAGCGCUGGAAACGGCGUCUAAUACCGGAUACGAGACGCAACCGCAUGGUUAGUGUCUGGAAAGUUUUUCGGUCUGGGAUGGACUCGCGGCCUAUCAGCUUGUUGGUGAGGUAAUGGCUCACCAAGGCGACGACGGGUAGCCGGCCUGAGAGGGCGACCGGCCACACUGGGACUGAGACACGGCCCAGACUCCUACGGGAGGCAGCAGUGGGGAAUAUUGCACAAUGGGCGAAAGCCUGAUGCAGCGACGCCGCGUGAGGGAUGACGGCCUUCGGGUUGUAAACCUCUUUCAGCAGGGAAGAAGCGAAAGUGACGGUACCUGCAGAAGAAGCACCGGCUAACUACGUGCCAGCAGCCGCGGUAAUACGUAGGGUGCGAGCGUUGUCCGGAAUUAUUGGGCGUAAAGAGCUUGUAGGCGGUUUGUCGCGUCUGCUGUGAAAAUCCGGGGCUCAACCCCGGACUUGCAGUGGGUACGGGCAGACUAGAGUGUGGUAGGGGAGACUGGAAUUCCUGGUGUAGCGGUGAAAUGCGCAGAUAUCAGGAGGAACACCGAUGGCGAAGGCAGGUCUCUGGGCCACUACUGACGCUGAGAAGCGAAAGCAUGGGGAGCGAACAGGAUUAGAUACCCUGGUAGUCCAUGCCGUAAACGUUGGGCGCUAGGUGUGGGACUCAUUCCACGAGUUCCGUGCCGCAGCUAACGCAUAAGC
rnacentral:rRNA from 1 species